rnacentral:rRNA from 1 species
UACGUAGGGGGCAAGCGUUGUCCGGAUUUAUUGGGCGUAAAGAGCGUGUAGGCGGCUUUGCAAGUCCGUUGUAAAAACUCGAGGCUCAACCUCGAGACGCCGGUGGAAACUGCAAAGCUAGAGUCCGGAAGAGGAGAGUGGAAUUCCUGGUGUAGCGGUGAAAUGCGCAGAUAUCAGGAAGAACACCCGUGGCGAAGGCGGCUCUCUGGGACGGUACUGACGCUGAGACGCGAAAGCGUGGGGAGCGAACAGG